rnacentral:lncRNA from 1 species
CGAGUUUCGAAAAAAAGACAAAAAUGGAGGAUUCUGCGAAGAUUACAAAGAAAACGGAACCAUCACUUAUUUGGAAACGUACGUGGCUGCACAAGAAAUAAAAUCUGAAACAAAUUAGAAUUACACACAAAAUGUGAUCGUCGUGUGAUCGACAAUCUCUGGUUGUCCUGGCUUUCCAUGCUCUCCACUAUCCAGGCUGUUUGGCGGGAAAAUGUUUUAGGCCAGAGCCAGCCAUCGUAACAAGAUAUUCAAGGUUUUCCUGUGCUGCUAUUGACCUGUCGUCACAUUAAUCUCAGGGUCAUCACUUGGAUAAACAGCAUCCAGUUCCAUUGGAGAAACUACCCAGAUGUCAAUUAAGUUAUAGAUCCCUUCUUCCCCUUUUCUUUAAAUGUCCUCGUGUACGCCCAUGCGAGUGUGGGUGUAUUCACGAGGACACCCUUUCAAUUCCCUAUCCCGUCUGGUGUGUAAUUCAACUCUUCAGCUGAUGGAUGGACUUGUCAAUGGAUGUCUGGCCGUACUUUCCAGUAAUAAAGGUUUUUUCUCUCCAUUCUAUUCCCACCGCGAGCGAUUGGCUAUAAACUGUGCCGCAUUGAAGGCCAAGGGAAGACGACACACCUGUUUGUCGGCUGGCCGGCAUUCCAAUCGUCCAACAAAUCAAUAAAGGCGGACCGGCCUACACACGUAUGUAAUGGGCGACAAACAUUUCCCUUGGAGACCUGUACACCUAUAUGCGUUUCCGACGACGCCUUGUGUGUGUUUGUUUGCUGCUGGAGGAUUCCGUCGACCAUCAGCAAGAGAAACCCGGCAUCAACUCGGCUGUAUGUACGUAUUUUCAAGAGUUUUUUUGGUUGUCCAUCGGAGCGUGAAUACAUCGGCCAGGCACAUCAGCG